rnacentral:rRNA from 1 species
GAUGAACGCUAGCGGCAGGCUUAACACAUGCAAGUCGAGGGGCAGCACGGGUAGCAAUACCUGGUGGCGACCGGCAAACGGGUGCGGAACACGUACAGAAUCUACCUUUAUCUGGGGCAUAGCCCGGAGAAAUCCGGAUUAACUCCCCAUAAUAUAAAUGAGUGGCAUCACUUGCUUAUUAAAAAUUACAUUGGAUAGAGAUGACUGUGCGUCCCAUUAGCUAGUGGUAGGGUAACGGCCUACCAAGGCGACGAUGGGUAGCUGGUGUGAGAGCACGGCCAGCCACACGGGCACUGAGACACGGGCCCGGACUCCUACGGGAGGCAGCAGUGAGGAAUAUUGGUCAAUGGACGCAAGUCUGAACCAGCCAUGCCGCGUGAAGGAUGAAGGCCUUCUGGGUUGUAAACUUCUUUUACCUGGGAAGAAACCUUCUUUUUCUUAAGAGAGUUGACGGUACCAGAGGAAUAAGCACCGGCUAACUCCGUGCCA